rnacentral:rRNA from 1 species
UGCCAGCAGCCGCGGUAAGACAGAGGUGGCAAGCGUUGUUCGGAAUUACUGGGCGUAAAGGGCGCGCAGGCGGUUCGUCAAGUCCCGUGUGAAAUCCCCCGGCUCAACUGGGGAACUGCGCGGGAAACUAGCGGGCUUGAGUUCGGGAGAGGAAAGCGGAAUUCCGGGUGUAGCGGUGAAAUGCGCAGAUAUCCGGAGGAACACCAGUGGCGAAGGCGGCUUUCUGGACCGACACUGACGCUGAGGCGCGAAAGCUAGGGGAGCGAACGGGAUUAGAUA